rnacentral:rRNA from 1 species
ACUUAAAUUGAAGAGUUUGAUCAUGGCUCAGAUUGAACGCUGGCGGCAGGCCUAACACAUGCAAGUCGAGCGGCAGCGGGAAAGUAGCUUGCUACUUUUGCCGGCGAGCGGCGGACGGGUGAGUAAUGCCUGGGGAUCUGCCCAGUCGAGGGGGAUAACUACUGGAAACGGUAGCUAAUACCGCAUACGCCCUAC